GAAUUUGUCAAAAGAUUAUCACGGACCAUGUGAAGGAGUGUUCACAAACUUGUCAUAAUUGAUUAGUUUGAAGGAAAAUAGCUCAAUCAAGUCACAUGUAGCUUUAUGGAGUUAUUAACACUGCCUGAAUAAGUAAGAAGUUUUGAACAAUGUCUUGUAAAACAGACCAGGCCACCAGAUCCAAGUGGAACCACACAACUUUCCAGUCCGUUUGCAGAGUUUUUCAACGAUGUUUUAGAGAACCAGAAUGGGGCAUAACUGAUGCAGGACCGAUGCAUGAACCAAAUAAUAUGUGAGAUCAAGUAGCCGAAUUACAGGUAAAAUUGGUCAACUUGACUAUUUUCAAUUUCCCCCUCAAUUUUCCCUUCUUUAUGAAAUGCAUAUUUUAAAUUAAAUCUUUAUGAUAUCAGCAUGACCUCAUGUUCUAAUCAAAUGAAACCAGCUCUGAGCCAACCACUUUUCUUUCCAAUGCUGGUUCUAUGCUUUUAAAACAUAAGUUUUGAAUGAAUAAAUAGACAGAGAUCUAAAAACCAAUUAACUCCCAGAAC